ensembl:lncRNA
GUUAAAACGGUCAAAAUGAACUUGUGCAUUUCAGAAAAUAACUGCAUUUAAGAAGCUGUUGACGUUGAUUUUUUACAAACGUAUUUUUGUUGUGAUCCUUUAAUGCAGGAGCUUCAGUGCAGAAGUUGGAACCAGUCAAAGAUAGAGGCACGUAAGGUGCCACAGAUGAACGUUUUUAGCCACUGAAUUACUGGAAUGAGUCCAGAAGCAGGUGUUUGAUCUUUAGGCUGCUUGUAAAGCUGAAACUACCAAAAUGACCUGCCUAAUCAACAGGGAACACUAAGGACAGGGGAGGACUGUGACCCCUGGCCUUGAUCUUGGCUUUCUCUGGUACAGAGCACUAUUACGUAUGUGCUUGCCUCUGGACUGGUUUUAACCCUGUCAACGCUGCCAAUGGGUACAUGCAGGCCAAUACUGGAAGAGCUUCAUCAGCUCUCUCAUCUCUGUUUGAAAACAGCAGGUACGCUCUGAGGUGCUUUGCCCCCUCCAUUGGUUAUUUCCUUCUUGACUGACACUUACAGUUUCAUAUGAGCCUUUCCACCAAGUUUUUUGUACCUUG